rnacentral:rRNA from 1 species
UAGGGAAAUCUUCGGCAAUGGGGGCAACCCUGACCGAGCAAACGCCGCGUGAGUGAAGAAGGUUUUCGGAUCGUAAAGCUCUGUUGUAAGAGAAGAACGGGUGUGAGAGUGGAAAGUUCACACUGUGACGGUAGCUUACCAGAAAGGGACGGCUAACUACGUGCCAGCAGCCGCGGUAAUACGUAGGUCCCGAGCGUUGUCCGGAUUUAUUGGGCGUAAGGCGAGCGCAGGCGGUUUGAUAAGUCUGAAGUUAAAGGCUGUGGCUCAACCAUAGUUCGCUUUGGAAACUGUCAAACUUGAGUGCAGAAGGGGAGAGUGGAAUUCCAUGUGUAGCGGUGAAAUGCGUAGAUAUAUGGAGGAACACCGGUGGCGAAAGCGGCUCUCUGGUCUGUAACUGACGCUAAGGCUCGAAAGCGUGGGGAGCGAACAGGAUUAGAUACCCUGGUAGUCCACGCCGUAAACGAUGAGUGCUAGGUGUUGGAUCCUUUCCGGGAUUCAGUGCCGCAGCUAACGCAUUAAGCACUCCGCCUGGGGAGUAACGAACCGCNGAGGUUG